CAUCCCAAGGGAGGCUCCUAACAGUAUUUUGGGAAUCUUAGCAAAUGAAAGGCUGUGUAUGUGGAGGAAAUUUAAGUAAUAAGCAUUGGCACAAAGGGAGCAGGGGAGUAAUGUUUACACAUUAAAAAGUGUAUGUGCCAGCACUUGAUAGCAGAGUCCAACUCCACUGCUAGUAAAUUGUUCUUCCUUAACAGAAAAGAAACAUGAUCUGCACUGAGAGGUUUAUAGAUCCUACAUACCACCUAAGAUCAGAGGUUUAUGAUCAUUAUCAGCAAUAAAGAGCGUGUACAACAAGAGUUGAGUCAAGUUUACACAGUUCUAUUCAGACUGAACAUCGCUUGUUGUGGGCUUCCCUGGAGCUUCAGUGAUAUUAUUCUCUUGUUUUUGCUGCUCCACCUCAACUGUAAAUUACACUUCCUAGCUUUAGGCUGAGCUGUUUUUUGUCUCUUUCCUUCCCACUAGGAGUCUGGCUUCUUCUGGAUAAUUUAAUAACUUUUCCACUGGAAAUAGUUUAUCAGUUUCUUAAGCAUAGUUAUGUUUUAUUGGCCUUAUUGUCUAUAUCGCUAUUUAACAAGAAUGGUACAAUGCCUUCCCAGUGGAUUUUCUAUGUCUCCUUUGUGUACAGAGUUUUCAGCAGUUUAAGUGUUUUCUUGUUGGUUUUGGUUUGUUUGGACUGAUGGGUUUUAUCCUGCUGUUUGACUGGCAAAUUGUGAUGUCAUCUCCAUUGCAAUUCUCUAGUCUUAUCAUUGAUUUGGUUGUCAUCUCCUCCCAGGGCUUUGAUUAUUUUCUAAAUGUUAGUCUUGAAAUUCUUCCAGUCUCCUUGUUAAU